GGCGUAGCCGCGGUUCUUGAGCGUGCGCCGGCGCUGCUUCAGCUGGACGAUCUCCUCCUUGGACAGGCCCCGCAGGUGCUGGUUCAGCUCCCGCACGGACAUGGUCACCAGCUCCUCAUCCGUCAGGCUGGUGCCAUUUUCACCCGGCUCCCGCUUCACCUGGGGCACAGUGCAGGGGUCACAGGCCAAGCGGGCACGCCCACUGUGCCCCCCCACCCCAGCCCGAAGGCUCCUGUCCCUGCCCACUCACCUUCAAGGCCUUGUUUCCUUUAUUGGGGGUCGUCAUAACCCGGGGGCACAGCGAGCAGGCGCUCUCUGUAAGACAUGGAGCAGGAAGCAGCCCCUGCCCCACCCCAUCCAGGGUAUUUCACAAGGGCUCCCACAGUGAGCCACCCGGGGCCUGCCCAACGUGAAGGCUGGCGGAGUCAGCCCCUCGGAGCUGCAGCCUGCUCUCUGGUCCCUGCCCCGGGUUUGAUGCAGACAGAUGAGAGACUCCUCCAGAGGAGCCAGGAUCACUUCAGGAAAUUAUGGGCUGGGGGGCUUCUUACUCUCAUCAGGGGAG
rnacentral:antisense_RNA from 1 species